rnacentral:lncRNA from 1 species
UUGUGUUAUUUGGUUGCUUGUGUGAUCUUUUUGGUCAUUCUCAGAGUUCUAUUCUUUAAUUUUGUUAUUAAGGUUCCAACCUUUUACUAAUUCUGUGAUUUCUUGCUUAUGGUUCUCUGAUUUUCGUGCAUAUUGUGUUUAAUAGGUCUAAUUAUUCAUUGUUUACGCAAAUCUUCUGUUAAUUUUGUGCAUCUCUCCGAAUCCCUGAUUUUUAUGUUUUCCUUGAAGUUUUCCACUGAUUUUGAAUCAUCUCCUUAUUUGUGAGAUGCUUUCUUUACUUAGUACUGAUUCGCUAUGAUUUUCAAUCUCAUCCGUGAUUCUUUGAACUAAUUUGUUUUCUAAUUCGACUUGCAAUCUGCUUGUUUAUGUGUACAAUAUGCUAUAAUUAUUAUACUUUCCUUACUUGAAAAUAUUCUGUACUUAGUCCUAUUACAUGAAUCAUGCUUUUACUAUUCCUAUUAUGGAAAUAUCAUUCUUGCACACAAUUAUUUUCCUUAUUUAAUACAAUUUGUACCCGUUUGAACUGUGCCUCCCUAAUUGAUGGUAGUCCGAGUCUUUAAUUGAUUCUAGUUGGUAUUAUUUCUAUAAUUGUGAUCAUUCUAUACGUGUUACCUUAUUUUUCAUUUGUUUUCAAAACUAUAAAUAGUCUACCCUCUCUUUAGCAUAACGCACUAACAAUCACUCAUUUGAACUCUCUUACACAUAUAAGCAUACUCAAUGUUCUAUCUUAUUUUUCUACACAUUCUCUUUCACUUCUCUUAUUGACUACUAGUUACGUUGUCGGAUGAAAUCCAAGACUAAGUAAUUUGUUAUUCCAGUGGUUUAUUGCUCUAUACAUUGCUCUCUCUUGAUCUGCACACCCUGUUCUACUUUCCUGCACACUACCGUUCUAUAUUAUCUCACUCUUGACUGGUAUGUCUUCUAUUUGAUUUACAGUUUUCAAAACAAAAUGUUUUUAUGUAUAUUGCACUUCCUCUUGUUUCUUUUAUGCUUCUACUUAUGGUUAUGCUGCUCUCAUUGCAAUUAGCAUGCCUCUGUACUAGUUCAUUGAUGUGACUAUCUUCCCUUAAUUCUGCAUGUCUACUGCUUCCUUUAUUUGUUUAAUACAGUUCUUCCUUACCCCCUAAGCCAAUACAUUAUCAGCAUGGAAUCCUGAAACUUUUUGGGACGAAAGGUGUUGUGACUAUUUAAAUGUUUUCUCUGAUAUCUAUGCUCUUACAUGUGAACUACUCGUUCCCAUUCCCCUUUCCCCUGUUUGUGUUUGCUUCCUUAAACUAUGUGUGGUAUUCUAGUUCUGGGAUUGUCAUACUCACCUUCUUACAAACUAUCACACUAUUCCAUUGUCUCUUUCAAAAACUGAUUCUAUAUAGAUCAUCUUUUAAAACUCUUUUCUUUCUCAACUCAAUUUCUUUAAGACUCUAUAACAUACUCUCACUACUCUUAGAGAUUAG